rnacentral:lncRNA from 1 species
AUCGAGACCAUUCUGGCUAACACGGUGUAAGGAAGAACAGAAGGAUCCAAGUGUGAGAAAGCCCACCCUGAGUCUCUCAGAGAUUCAUUUCACUACCAGGUCAAAGACACAAUCAAAAGCCCGACAAAUGGAAUUUGUGGAAUUGGAACAAAAAGCUUUUCUUCCUAGGCACAAGAACAUCAAAGCAUAAAUCCUUCAGGUAUCAGCAAUGACAUCACUUAAGAAUUUCUCAGAAUCUUUGGCACCACCCCAGGCCUACCGGAUCAGAAUCUGAAUUUUUUAACAAGAUCUCAGAUCUAGUCAAGAGUCCAGUCUGAUUUCUCUUUAUUGGGACUACCACCCAAAGCAGAAUGAGGAUGAUGUAACCACGCCCAGUGACUUCUGGAUACCACUGACUCUAGAUCCUGAAUUCCAGCAGAAUGGCUGACACCAACUGGUCUGAAGACCCUCACCAAGGAACUGACUCAGUGCAGGAAUGCAGUUUCUUCAUCUCCCUAUCCCUGACUUCACCCCUCACUUCUCAACCAAUCAGUGAUCACCACACUUUAGGCCAUCACCUGUGUCCAGACCCCUUAAAAACCCCAUCUGCAAACCUCUUGAAGAGGCAUAUUUGAGGUUUCCUCUCAUCUCCUCAUUUGGUUUCCCUACAAUUAUUAAAUUCUUUCUCUGCUGCAACUCCUACUUUUUCAGUGUAUUGGUCUGUUACUGUGCAACAGGAAAUCAGACCUGGUGGUCCUAUAGUAAGAGUUCACAGAAUAUGAUAUACAAAGUGAUCUGUGAUAUACAAAAACCGGCACAAUCUCACUCUUAAUAAGAAAAAUUCAACUUAAAAUUAAAAGUUUUUUUUCCUCAGAAUGGCAAAGAUCAAAGUUUGAUAACAUGGUUGGAAAGUAUGCAGACCGAUAUUCUCAUAUUCAUUGAUGAAGUGUAAAUUGAUACAUCCUUUGUCAGUACGGACAGGUUUCCCAACUCUAGGGGUGAAAUUUAUACAGACUACAGUGUGAAUGACAACCACUUCAAAUUGGGUGAUAUGAUGACCUUGACUCUGUGGAGGGUCAUUUGGCAAAAUAUCUCAAAAUAAAAAUGUACAUACAAUUUGA